AUGCCGCCACUAGCAGACGGCUACUUCGGCGACGCGAUAAUAAAUAUAAGCGUUGUCGAAGAUGCAAUGAGCAUCGCCUCUGGCGACCUGGCCUAUGUCGCAAGUUGUAUCAAAGAAACCAUAGGUCGGGUGGAUGAUCGGCUGGUGCAUUCGGCGGUUGACUAUGUCGAGCUAGCGUUAGUAGAGAGGGACAAUCGCCGUACCCCUGCGACUGGUAACUUGCCGGUGACGGACAUUAGAGUGGUCAGCUGUCUUGGCUUGCCUUUGUAUGAUUUGGAUUUCGGCUGGGGAAAGCCAUUGGCUAUGUUGCGUGCAUAA
rnacentral:rRNA from 1 species